rnacentral:rRNA from 1 species
UACGUAGGGGGCAAGCGUUGUCCGGAAUCAUUGGGCGUAAAGAGCGUGUAGGCGGCCCGAUAAGUCCGCUGUGAAAGUCCAGGGCUCAACCCUGGAAUGCCGGUGGAUACUGUCGGGCUCGAAUCCGGAAGAGGUGAGUGGAAUUCCUGGUGUAGCGGUGAAAUGCGUAGAUAUCCGGAGGAACACCGGUGGCGAAGGCGGCUUCCUGGACCGACACUGACGCUGAGGCGCGAAAGCUAGGGGAGCAAACGGG